UUUGGUUAAGUUAGAAAGGGCGCACGGUGGAUGCCUUGACACUAGGAGUCGAUGAAGGACGGGACUAACGCCGAUAUGCUUCGGGGAGCUGUAAGUAAGCUUUGAUCCGAAGAUUUCCGAAUGGGGAAACCCACCAUACGUAAUGGUAUGGUAUCCUUAUCUGAAUACAUAGGGUAAGGAAGACAGACCCAGGGAACUGAAACAUCUAAGUACCUGGAGGAAGAGAAAGCAAAUGCGAUUUCCUGAGUAGCGGCGAGCGAAACGGAACAUAGCCCAAACCAAGAGGCUUGCCUCUUGGGGUUGUAGGACAUUCUAUACGGAGUUACAAAGGAACGAGGUAGACGAAGCGACCUGGAAAGGUCCGUCGUAGAGGGUAACAACCCCGUAGUCGAAACUUCGUUCUCUCUUGAAUGUAUCCUGAGUACGGCGGAACACGUGAAAUUCCGUCGGAAUCUGGGAGGACCAUCUCCCAAGGCUAAAUACUCCCUAGUGAUCGAUAGUGAACCAGUACCGUGAGGGAAAGGUGAAAAGCACCCCGGAAGGGGAGUGAAAGAGAUCCUGAAACCGUGUGCCUACAAAUAGUCAGAGCCCGUUAACGGGUGAUGGCGUGCCUUUUGUAGAAUGAACCGGCGAGUUACGAUCCCGUGCGAGGUUAAGCUGAAGAGGCGGAGCCGCAGCGAAAGCGAGUCUGAAUAGGGCGUUUAGUACGUGGUCGUAGACCCGAAACCAGGUGAUCUACCCAUGUCCAGGGUGAAGUUCAGGUAACACUGAAUGGAGGCCCGAACCCACGCACGUUGAAAAGUGCGGGGAUGAGGUGUGGGUAGCGGAGAAAUUCCAAUCGAACCUGGAGAUAGCUGGUUCUCCCCGAAAUAGCUUUAGGGCUAGCCUUAAGUGUAAGAGUCUUGGAGGUAGAGCACUGAUUGGACUAGGGGUCCUCAUCGGAUUACCGAAUUCAGUCAAACUCCGAAUGCCAAUGACUUAUCCUUAGGAGUCAGACUGCGAGUGAUAAGAUCCGUAGUCAAAAGGGAAACAGCCCAGACCGCCAGCUAAGGUCCCAAAGUGUGUAUUAAGUGGAAAAGGAUGUGGAGUUGCUUAGACAACUAGGAUGUUGGCUUAGAAGCAGCCACCAUUUAAAGAGUGCGUAAUAGCUCACUAGUCGAGUGACUCUGCGCCGAAAAUGUACCGGGGCUAAAUACACCACCGAAGCUGCGGAUUGAUACCAAUGGUAUCAGUGGUAGGGGAGCGUUCUAAGGACAGUGAAGUCAGACCGUAAGGACUGGUGGAGUGCUUAGAAGUGAGAAUGCCGGUAUGAGUAGCGAAAGACGGGUGAGAAUCCCGUCCACCGAAUGCCUAAGGUUUCCUGAGGAAGGCUCGUCCGCUCAGGGUUAGUCAGGACCUAAGCCGAGGCCGACAGGCGUAGGCGAUGGACAACAGGUUGAUAUUCCUGUACCACCUCUUUAUCGUUUGAGCAAUGGAGGGACGCAGAAGGAUAGAAGAAGCGUGCGAUUGGUUGUGCACGUCCAAGCAGUUAGGCUGAUAAGUAGGCAAAUCCGCUUAUCGUGNNNNNNNNNNNNNNNNNNNNNNNNNNNNNNNNNNNNNNNNNNNNNNNNNNNNNNNNNNNNNNNNNNNNNNNNNNNNNNNNNNNNNNNNNNNNNNAAGGCUGAGCUGUGAUGGGGAAGCUCCUUAUGGAGCGAAGUCUUUGAUUCCCCGCUGCCAAGAAAAGCUUCUAGCGAGAUAAAAGGUGCCUGUACCGCAAACCGACACAGGUAGGCGAGGAGAGAAUCCUAAGGUGUGCGAGAGAACUCUGGUUAAGGAACUCGGCAAAAUGACCCCGUAACUUCGGGAGAAGGGGUGCUUUCUUAACGGAAAGCCGCAGUGAAUAGGCCCAAGCGACUGUUUAGCAAAAACACAGCUCUCUGCGAAGCCGUAAGGCGAAGUAUAGGGGGUGACACCUGCCCGGUGCUGGAAGGUUAAGGAGAGGGGUUAGCGUAAGCGAAGCUCUGAACUGAAGCCCCAGUAAACGGCGGCCGUAACUAUAACGGUCCUAAGGUAGCGAAAUUCCUUGUCGGGUAAGUUCCGACCCGCACGAAAGGUGUAACGAUUUGGGCACUGUCUCAACCAGAGACUCGGUGAAAUUAUAGUACCUGUGAAGAUGCAGGUUACCCGCGACAGGACGGAAAGACCCCGUGGAGCUUUACUGUAGCCUGAUAUUGAAUUUUGGUACAGUUUGUACAGGAUAGGCGGGAGCCAUUGAAACCGGAGCGCUAGCUUCGGUGGAGGCGCUGGUGGGAUACCGCCCUGACUGUAUUGAAAUUCUAACCUACGGGUCUUAUCGACCCGGGAGACAGUGUCAGGUGGGCAGUUUGACUGGGGCGGUCGCCUCCUAAAGUGUAACGGAGGCGCCCAAAGGUUCCCUCAGAAUGGUUGGAAAUCAUUCGUAGAGUGCAAAGGCAUAAGGGAGCUUGACUGCGAGACCUACAAGUCGAGCAGGGACGAAAGUCGGGCUUAGUGAUCCGGUGGUUCCGCAUGGAAGGGCCAUCGCUCAACGGAUAAAAGCUACCCCGGGGAUAACAGGCUUAUCUCCCCCAAGAGUCCACAUCGACGGGGAGGUUUGGCACCUCGAUGUCGGCUCAUCGCAUCCUGGGGCUGUAGUCGGUCCCAAGGGUUGGGCUGUUCGCCCAUUAAAGCGGUACGCGAGCUGGGUUCAGAACGUCGUGAGACAGUUCGGUCCCUAUCCGUCGUGGGCGUAGGAAAUUUGAGAGGAGCUGUCCUUAGUACGAGAGGACCGGGAUGGACGCACCGCUGGUGUACCAGUUGUUCUGCCAAGGGCAUAGCUGGGUAGCUAUGUGCGGAAGGGAUAAGUGCUGAAAGCAUCUAAGCAUGAAGCCCCCCUCAAGAUGAGAUUUCCCAUAGCGUAAGCUAGUAAGAUCCCUGAAAGAUGAUCAGGUUGAUAGGUUCGAGGUGGAAGCAUGGUGACAUGUGGAGCUGACGAAUACUAAUAGAUCGAGGACUUAACCAUAUAA
rnacentral:rRNA from 1 species